AUUGAACGCUGGCGGCAGUCCUAACACAUGCAAGUCGAACGCGUGGCGGACGGGUGAGUAAUGUCUGGGAAACUGCCCGAUGGAGGGGGAUAACUCCUGGGAACGGUAGCUAAUACCGCCUACCAUCGGAUGUGCCAAGAUGGGAUUAGCUAGUAGGUGGGGUAACGGCUCCCCAAGGCGACGAUCCCUAGCUGGUCUGAGAGGAUGACCAGCCACACUGGAACUGAGACACGGUCCAGACUCCUACGGGAGGCAGCAGUGGGGAAUAUUGCACAAUGGGCGCAAGCCUGAUGCAGCCAUGCCGCGUGUAUGAAGAAGGCCUUCGGGUUGUAAAGUACUUUCAGCGAGGAGGCGUUACUCGCAGAAGAAGCACCGGCUAACUCCGUGCCAGCAGCCGCGGUAAUAC
rnacentral:rRNA from 1 species